rnacentral:snRNA from 1 species
GUGCUCGCUGAGCGGCACAUAUAAUAAAAUUUAGAAUGACAAAGAGAUCAGCAUAUCUCCUGCUCCGGGAUGACGUGCAAAGUCACAAAGCAUUAGAAAAAAUC